GCUCUCUGUAAACUUUUCUAUAAAAUCAAUUUUUGUGGUUCAAGAGUUUGAGCUGAUCUUCCUAGAUUCUGACGCUCAUCAGUCUGCAGUGUUUUCUCCUCAGUGUGGGAGUCUGACCCCCUGAUACGGCAACGCAGAGAGGUCAACUGGUUUUAAAACGACCUUUAAUGGGUUCCAGUGGUUCCAGAGGGAGGCUGCUGUGAGUUCUUGGAGUCGCUCCAAAGACGGGCAUGCAGGGAACGCAGCAGCAGAACCUGGAAACAUGUUCAUGAAGCGGACGGAGUCCGAGCUGAUUGCAGAGAACGAAUCAGAGAGGAGCAGCAGGAGGAGGAGGUGGCAGCAUCAUACUGUGGGGAGACAGAUGGAGCCAAAUCCAUCAGCGGCAGCAGAGACCUCAGUCUGGGGUCAAGGGUCACCUUUCAGCAGGAGAACCAGCCUGAACACCCAGCUAGAGUUAGAACGGCCUAGUCAAAGUCCAGAACUAAAUGAGGAGUGUCAGUGUGGAAUAUUUAGCCUUCCUCCGCUGCUGCGUCACGCUGCCAUGCGCCACGCGCAUGGCGACACGCACGCGCCUCCUCCUCCUCCUCUUCCUCAUUUCCGUGAUCUGCUGGAGUUGAGUUGCGCGUGCAGAGCAGAGCAGACGCAGGUCCGUUUCCACAGAGGGUUCAGAUUCUGAUCAGCACGAGCUUCGGGUCGGUUCGGGUCCAUUCUCCCGCUGCUGCUCAGAGGCAUGAGCCUGCAGAACCGGCUCUCUCUCCUGCUGAUGAGGAUGAUGAAGGUCCCGCUCCACGCGCUCCGGCGGCCCCGCGCGCAGCUCUAAGAUGACACCGGGACUCGGAGCGCGGAUCCACACCAACCCGGGGUAACACGACACAUAGACACAACAGGAAGCGGAAAGUUCGGGUCCCGAGAGACGGAGAGGGAGAGUCCGGGCGCAGAGCGCGGAGCGGCGGGGAGAGGAGGCGCAGCGAGCCGCAGAGGAGAGGAGAGAAGCUGAACUCUGUCAGCAGGUCCAGUGAUGCUGCUGCCGCGGACCUCCGUCCGGUCCGCGCUCCUCAUCCUCCUCCUCCUCUUCAUCCUGCUGCAGACGCCGGGACGCUGCCACGCGGCCGCCCGGCACCGGGGCUCCGGUCCCCGGGCAGAGGCGCGCGGGGGCCUCCACAGCCUGGCGCAGCUGGCCGGCCGGUAUCGGAGCGGCCCGGUGGGCUUCAGCGGGCACGAAGCGGCGGGUGUGAAACGGCCGAGCCGGUCGAACCACGAAGGUCACCUCAGCGAUCCGAAGCACAAGGAGAAGUUCAUCACUCACAUGACAGGUCCUCUUUACUUCAAGCCUCAGUGCCGGAAACAGUUCCACCGACUCUACAACCACACCAGGGACUGCACGGUUCCCGCCUUCAGGCCUGAUGGCUGCAGGCGGCCGCGCUGCGCCGCGCCACACCCGGCGGCCCGGCGGCCCGGCUAGGUAAACCUCGUGAUGCUGCAGGUCAUGUCUCCUUUUAGCAGGUCCUCUUCAGCCUCAUAAACACGUUUGUUGUUUCCUUCUGCUGCAGUUUAUAAAAGAUGUGCUCGUCUGCUGACUCAACUGGCCAAGAGCCCUCGCUGUGCUGGGAGAUAAACAGACCGCGAGAUGCCGGUGGACAGGAAGUGGUCUCCGUACGCCAUGUUAGUUCCCUCUGAUGACCAGCAGUUGACGUUUUGCAGCCAAGAGAAACUUGAUGUCAAAGUUCAAACUGUUCAUAUCCAGCAACAAAGAACAGAUGAACCCGUUCAGAUGAACUCGUUCAGUUCUCCUGUUUCUCUCGGACCCACAGACUCUCUGAAUCUUCCACCUUAAACAGUUCAUGAAAUGUUGAUUCCAGUUUAUCUGCUCUCUGCUGCCUUCCAGAGCAACUGGACCCAGUGGCUUUACUGGUUUCUGAUGGACCGUCUGCUCUGGAAACAAACCUGGGACAUUUUUAUCAGAGUUUGACUUGUCCAUUGAGUUGAACCAUUGAUGACUGAUGAACCUUCAGGGUUCAAAGGUCAUCAGUUCAUCAAAGUAAAGCUAUUCCAGUGUAUUUAUAUUGUUCAAACUGCCUCCCUCUGUGCAAUAUGUACAUACUGAAAGAGGAAUAAAGAAACAUUUGAUACGUUU